GACAGAGGGGGCAAGCGUUAUUCGGAUUUACUGGGCGUAAAGGGCGCGUAGGCGGCUUGGUAAGUCUGGUGUGAAAACGCUACCGCUUAACGGAGCGAUUGCGCUGGAAACUGCCAAACUUGAGUUCGUGAGAGGCCGGUGGAAUACCUGGUGUAGCGGUGGAAUGCUUAGAUAUCAGGUAGAAUACCUGAGGCGAAGGCGGCCGGCUGGCACGAUACUGACGCUGAGGCGCGAAAGCGUGGGGAGCAAACGGG
rnacentral:rRNA from 1 species